GGACCAUUGGCGCAACGGUAGCGCGUCAGAUUCCAGCAUUUGGGCAUGGGAAAUCCUGAAGGUUAGCCGUUCGAAUCGGCUAUGGUUCA